rnacentral:rRNA from 1 species
GCACGGGUGAGUAACACGUGACUAACCUACCCUGGAGUGGGGAAUAACUGAGGGAAACCUUAGCUAAUACCGCAUAAUACCUACGGGUCAAAGGAGCAAUUCGCUUCAGGAGGGGGUCGCGGCAGAUUAGCUAGUUGGUGGGGUAAAGGCCUACCAAGGCGACGAUCUGUAGCUGGUCUGAGAGGACGACCAGCCACACUGGGACUGAGACACGGCCCAGACUCCUACGGGAGGCAGCAGUGGGGAAUUUUGGACAAUGGGGGCAACCCUGAUCCAGCCAUGCCGCGUGUGUGAAGAAGGCCUUCGGGUUGUAAAGCACUUUUGUCCGGAACGAAACGGUUGAUGCGAAUAACAUCAGCUAAUGACGGUACCGGAAGAAUAAGCACCGGCUAACUACGUGCCAGCAGCCGCGGUAAUACGUAGGGUGCAAGCGUUAAUCGGAAUUACUGGGCGUAAAGCGUGCGCAGGCGGUUUCGCAAGUCAGAUGUGAAAUCCCCGGGCUCAACCUGGGAACUGCAUUUGAAAACUACGAGGCUAGAAGUGUGUCAGAGGGGGGGUCAGAAUUUCCACGUGUAGCCAGUUGGAAAUGCGUAGAGAUGUGGGAGGGAAUACCCGGAU